rnacentral:rRNA from 1 species
UACAGAGGGUGCGAGCGUUGUCCGGAAUCACUGGGCGUAAAGGGCGGGUAGGCGGCCACCGCAAGUCAGUUGUGAAAUCUCUGGGCUUAACCCAGAAAGGUCAACUGAUACUGCGGGGCUAGAGUGCAGAAGGGGCAACUGGAAUUCUCGGUGUAGCGGUGAAAUGCGUAGAUAUCGAGAGGAACACCUGCGGCGAAGGCGGGUUGCUGGGCUGACACUGACGCUGAACUGCGAAAGCUAGGGGAGCGAACGGGG